rnacentral:rRNA from 1 species
ACGGGUGAGUAACACGUAGGUAACCUGCCUAUAAGAUCGGGAUAACUAUCGGAAACGAUAGCUAAGACCGGAUAAUUGGUUUUCUCGCAUGAGAGAAUUAUGAAACACGGAGCAAUCUGUGGCUUAUAGAUGGGCCUGCGGCGCAUUAGCUAGUUGGUAGGGUAAUGGCCUACCAAGGCGACGAUGCGUAGCCGACCUGAGAGGGUGACCGGCCACACUGGGACUGAGACACGGCCCAGACUCCUACGGGAGGCAGCAGUAGGGAAUCUUCCGCAAUGGACGCAAGUCUGACGGAGCAACGCCGCGUGAGUGAUGAAGGUUUUCGGAUCGUAAAGCUCUGUUGCCCUAGACGAACAGCAAGGAGAGUAACUGCUCUUUGUGUGACGGUAUAGGAGAAGAAAGCCCCGGCUAACUACGUGCCAGCAGCCGCGGUAAUACGUAGGGGGCAAGCGUUGUCCGGAAUUAUUGGGCGUAAAGCGCGCGCAGGCGGUCAAUUAAGUUGGGUGUUUAAGCCCGGGGCUCAACCCCGGUUCGCAUCCAAAACUGGUUGACUUGAGUGUAGGAGAGGAAAGUGGAAUUCCACGUGUA